rnacentral:rRNA from 1 species
GACGAACGCUGGCGGCGUGCUUAACACAUGCAAGUCGAACCAAUUGGCGAACGGGUGAGUAACGCGUAAUCAACCUGCCCUUCAGAGGGGGACAACAGUUGGAAACGACUGCUAAUACCGCAUACCGAAGGAUGGCAUUGCGUCUGAUUAGGUAGUUGGAGGGGUAACGGCCCAACAAGGCGAGGAUCAGUAGGCGGGCUGAGAGAGUGAGAGGGCACAUUGUGAGUGAGAGACGGCCCAGACUCCUAGGGGAGGCAGCAGUGGGGGAUCUUCCGCAAGUGACGAAAGUCUGGCGGAGCAAAGCCGCGUGAGUGAUGACGGCCUUCGGGUUGUAAAGCUCUGUUAAUCGGGGCGCGGUACCGGAAGAGAAAGCCACGGCUAACUACGUGCCAGCAGCCGCGGUAAUUC